rnacentral:rRNA from 1 species
AAUAGAUACCCCGGUAGUCCUAGCUGUAAACCAUGACCACUAGGCGUGGGAGGUAUCGACCCCUUCCGUGCCGUAGGUAACCUGUUAAGUGGUCCGCCUGGGGAGUACGGUCGCAAGACUAAAACUCAAAGGAAUUGACGGGGACCCGCACAAGCAGCGGAGCGUGUGGUUUAAUUCGAUGCAACGCGAAGAACCUUACCAGGGUUUGACAUGUAUGCGACAUCCCUUGAAAGAGGGCUCCCUUCGGGGCGCAUGCACAGGUGCUGCAUGGCUGUCGUCAGCUCGUGCCGUGAGGUGUCUGGUUAAGUCCUCUAACGAGCGCAACCCCUAUGGCUAGUUGAACCUAUCUAGUCAGACCGCCACCACAAAAUGGAGGAAGGUGGGGAUGACGUCAAGUCAGCACGGCCCUUAUAUCCUGGGCGACACACACGCUACAAUGGUCGGUACAACGAGUUGCGAACCCGCGAGGGGGAGCCAAUCUCAGCAAAACCGGUCUCAGUUCGGAUUGUAGGCUGCAACCCGCCUGCA